AUUGAACGCUGGCGGCAGGCCUAACACAUGCAAGUCGAACGAGUGGCGGACGGGUGAGUAAUGUCUGGGAAACUGCCUGAUGGAGGGGGAUAACUACUGGAAACGGUAGCUAAUACCGCAUACCAUCGGAUGUGCCCAGAUGGGAUUAGCUAGUAGGGGGGGUAAAGGCUCACCUAGGCGACGAACCCUAGCGGGUCUGAGAGGAUGACCAGACACACUGGAAUGGAGAGACGGUCCAUACUCCUACGUGAGGCAGCAGUGGGGAAUAUUGCACAAUGGGCGCAAGCCUGAGGCAGCCAUGCCGCGUGUAUGCAGAAGGCCUGCGGGUGGUAAAGUACUUUCAGCGGUGAGGCGUUACCCGCAGAAGAAGCACCGGCUAACUCCGUGCCAGCAGCCGCGGUAAUAC
rnacentral:rRNA from 1 species